AACGAACGCUGGCGGCAGGCCUAACACAUGCAAGUCGAACGCAUCGCAAGAUGAGUGGCGCACGGGUGAGUAACACGUGGGAAUGUAUCCUUUGGUUCGGAAUAACGUCUGGAAACGGACGCUAAUACCGGAUGAGCCCUUAGGGGGAAAGAUUUAUCGCCGAAGGAGCAGCCCGCGUCUGAUUAGGUAGUUGGUGGGGUAAAGGCCUACCAAGCCGACGAUCAGUAGCUGGUCUGAGAGGAUGAUCAGCCACACUGGGACUGAGACACGGCCCAGACUCCUACGGGAGGCAGCAGUGGGGAAUAUUGGACAAUGGGCGCAAGCCUGAUCCAGCCAUGCCGCGUGAGUGAUGAAGGCCUUCGGGUUGUAAAGCUCUUUCGCACACGACGAUGAUGACGGUAGUGUGAGAAGAGGCCCCGGCUAACUUCGUGCCAGCCGCCGCUGUAACAC
rnacentral:rRNA from 1 species